rnacentral:rRNA from 1 species
UACGGGGGGGGCAAGCGUUGUCCGGAAUUAUUGGGCGUAAAGAGCUCGUAGGCGGCCUGUCGCGUCGGAUGUGAAAGCCCGGGGCUUAACCCCGGGUCUGCAUUCGAUACGGGCAGGCUAGAGUGUGGUAGGGGAGAUCGGAAUUCCUGGUGUAGCGGUGAAAUGCGCAGAUAUCAGGAGGAACACCGGUGGCGAAGGCGGAUCUCUGGGCCAUUACUGACGCUGAGGAGCGAAAGCGUGGGGAGCGAACAGG